GUUUGUGUCACCCAGACAGCCGGUGGCCAGGGCAGAGACAGCUCUGUCAGGCUUUCCAGUCUCUAGAUUGGCCGGUCCAGCCUGACGGCUCAGCCACGCCAGCUGCCCUCUUCCUCUCCAGCUCUGUUGCCCUCUGGGUGCCUCCACGCCCAGUUCCUUCCCCUCCUGUCAUCUCACCGUGGUCCCUAGAGGAGCUGUCUCUCUCUGUUUUCUGUGCUCCACUCUUUUACCCCCGUUUCUGAUGGGGAGGUGGCAGUGUGCACACAUGCCCGUCUGGGGCUAGGAGUCUGCGUGCAGAAUCCAGGAAGUGCUUUCAGCCUCUGAAAUGACACUUCCUAUGUUCCGACAACAAUGGAGUGCCAGUCACACAGGAUGAGCACACACGGCGGACGGCGGCUGGCUGGGGUGGAGUGGAAUUGCUGGGUCACGCCUAGGAGUGGAAUAUACACUGAUGAGUGGAAUUGCUGAGUCACAUGGAUAAACUGCCAGCUUUCAAGUACUCCUUGGUUUUCCUGGAUGAAUCAUGUGCCUUCUAGCACCUGGGGGCCCAGGGCUGCCCCUGUGUGGAAUUGGGGCCUGGCUCCUGACCUAGUGAAGGUGUAUCAGGAAUCUUCACUCGAGUCAACAUCUUCGUCAUUUGCCUUAAAGUUGUCAGUUGCCAGUGUGUUCGUGUUUUGUACAAACCAUAGUUGUACAGUGGGGUUAAUUUCCCAUGUGUGCACCGCCCCCACCCCCAGAGCAACAUGUGGAAUGUUCCAGCCCCCGGAAAGGCUUCCUGGUGGUUCAUCCCAGUCAAUUCCCUCAACCCUCCUCUCCUGCCCAGAAGUGACCUGUCUGACCUCUGUCAUCUUAGUUUUGCCUGAUUUUGAAUUUGUAUCCAGUAUUUUUUGCCCUGGCUUCUUGCACCCGGCAUAAUGUCUGUGAGUUUCAUCUUUGCUGCUGAGUGUCGUGAUCAAUGCUUUGUUCUAAUUGUUAUGUAGCCUUUCUUUGUAGAAUAUACCACGGUCGGCUUACCUGGUCUCCAGCUGAUUGCUAUUUGGACUUACUAGGAAUAAAGCUAAAAUUAAGUUCCAUGUAGGUGUCUUUAGCUUACCUCACGUCCUCCUUCCUCUUGGGCUUAGGAUAGACAUUUUCCAAAGUGACUGUAUAAGUUUUCAUUCCCACCAGCAGUGUGCGUGCAUGCUAAGUCACUGCAGUCGUGUCCAACUCUUUGCAACCCCAUGGACUGUAGCCCGUCAGGCUCCUCUGUCCAUGGAAUUCUCCAGGCAAGAAUACUGGAGUGGGUUGCCAUGCCCUCCAAGGGAUCUUUCUG
ensembl:lncRNA